rnacentral:rRNA from 1 species
CCUACGGGAGGCAGCAGUAGGGAAUAUUGCUCCAUGGGGGAAACCCUGAAGCAGCAACGCCGCGUGGAGGAUGAAGGUUUUAGGAUUGUAAACUCCUUUUGUGAGAGAAGAUAAUGACGGUAUCUCACGAAUAAGCACCGGCUAACUCCGUGCCAGCAGCCGCGGUAAUACGGAGGGUGCAAGCGUUACUCGGAAGCACUGGGCGUAAAGAGUGCGCAGGCGGGCUUGUAAGUCAGAUGUGAAAUCCUGUAGCUUAACUACAGAACUGCAUUUGAAACUAUGAGUCUAGAGUGUGGGAGAGGUAGGUGGAAUUCUUGGUGUAGGGGUAAAAUGCGUAGAUAUCAAGAGGAAUACUCAUUGCGAAGGCGACCUACUGGAACAUUACUGACGCUCAUGCGCGAAAGCGUGGGGAGCAAACAGGAUUAGAUACCCUAGUAGUC